GAGAGUUUGUAACACCCGAAGUCGGUGAGGUAACCUUUUAGGAGCCAGCCGCCUAAGGUGGGAUAGAUGAUUGGGGUGAAGUCGUAACAAGGUAGCCGUAUCGGAAGGUGCGGCUGGAUCACCUCCUUU
rnacentral:rRNA from 1 species